rnacentral:ncRNA from 1 species
CCCGACCUUCGGGGCAGGGUGAGGGAAGGAAUGAAUUGCGCGCCUUCCCAAUUCCCAAUCGGCGGUAAAGCCCGCGAGGGGUGGUCGGAAGCGCUCGAGUCAGCGCAAGGCGUCCGGGAGAAUUCCCAGACUGAGCGUGGAGGGCCUGCAAGCCCCAGGAUCCGGUGAAACUCCGGGGCCGACGGUACAGUCCGGAUGGGAGAAGGUCAGG